CCUUGGAGUAAAGUAGCAGCACAUAAUGGUUUGUGGAUUUUGAAAAGGUGCAGGCCAUAUUGUGCUGCCUCAAAAAUACAAGGAUCUGAUCUUC
ensembl:miRNA